GACGAACGCUGGCGGCGUGCCUAAUACAUGCAAGUAGAACGCUGAAGAGAGGAGCUUGCUCUUCUUGGCUGAGUUGCGAACGGGUGAGUAACGCGUAGGUAACCUGCCUGGUAGCGGGGGAUAACUAUUGGAAACGAUAGCUAAUACCGCAUAAAAUGGAUUAUCGCAUGAUAAUCCAUUGAAAGGUGCAAAUGCAUCACUACCAGAUGGACCUGCGUUGUAUUAGCUAGUUGGUGGGGUAACGGCUCACCAAGGCGACGAUACAUAGCCGACCUGAGAGGGUGAUCGGCCACACUGGGACUGAGACACGGCCCAGACUCCUACGGGAGGCAGCAGUAGGGAAUCUUCGGCAAUGGACGGAAGUCUGACCGAGCAACGCCGCGGGAGUGAAGAAGGUUUUCGGAUCGUAAAGCUCUGUUGUAAGAGAAGAACGAGUGUGAGAGUGGAAAGUUCACACUGUGACGGUAUCUUACCAGAAAGGGACGGCUAACUACGUG
rnacentral:rRNA from 1 species